rnacentral:pre_miRNA from 1 species
GAAAAAGCAAACCCUGGGUUUGCGUGUCCAACUUUGACUGUCCGUCUUAUAUGAAAUAUUUUUAUAAUUUAUAUUUUUAUUGUUGUUAGAUGAUAAAACAUGAUUAAUAUUUUAUGCGUGACUUGUCUUUUUAAUUUUUUUUAAAAAAAAUUCAAAUAAGACGAACGGUCAAACGUUGGACACGGAAACCAGGGUUUGUCUUUUU